rnacentral:rRNA from 1 species
AGAGUUUGAUCAUGGCUCAGGAUGAACGCUGGCGGCGUGCUUAACACAUGCAAGUCGAACGAAGCAGUCUUGAUGAAGCCUUCGGGCGGAAUUAGGAUUGACUGAGUGGCGGACGGGUGAGUAACGCGUGGGUAAUCUGCCUCACACAGGGGGAUAACAGUUAGAAAUGACUGCUAAUACCGCAUAAGCGCACGAGAGGGCAUCCUCAAGUGUGAAAAGCCGAGACGGUGUGAGAUGAGCCCGCGUCUGAUUAGGUAGUUGGUGAGGUAACGGCCCACCAAGCCGACGAUCAGUAGCCGACCUGAGAGGGUGAUCGGCCACAUUGGGACUGAGACACGGCCCAA